UGCUCCAUGAUAAUGGAGACACGCAUAGAGGAAGAUAUAGUUAAUUCCGAAAUUAUAAUUUGCGAUUGUACCAAUUUGACUUUCGGUCAUGUAUUGAAAUGUACACCAGUUGCAGUAAAAAAACUCGACAUUCUUUUGGAAUCAUACGGUCCAAGAAUGAAAGCAAUUCAUGUGAUAAAUACACCAAGUUUUUUUUGAUGUCUUAUUGACAGUAGUUAAAUCAAUAAUGAAGGCAAAACUUAUUAACCGAAUACAUCUUCAUACGUCCGGAAUAGAAUCAAUAUAUGGGAUUAUA